rnacentral:rRNA from 1 species
AACUUUCAGCAACGGAUCUCUUGGCUCUCGCAUCGAUGAAGAACGCAGCGAAAUGCGAUAAGUAAUGUGAAUUGCAGAAUUCAGUGAAUCAUCGAAUCUUUGAACGCACCUUGCGCUCCUUGGUAUUCCGAGGAGCAUGCCUGUUUGAGUGUCAUUAAUAU